AUACGUAUGUCGCAAGCGUUAUCCGGAAUUAUUGGGCGUAAAGCGAGUCUAGGCGGCUUGUUAAGUCAGAUGUGAAAAUGCGGGGCUCAACUCCGUAUUGCGUUUGAAACUGGCAGGCUAGAGUACUGGAGAGGUGGGCGGAACUACAAGUGUAGAGGUGGAAUUCGUAGAUAUUUGUAGGAAUGCCGAUAGUGAAGACAGCUCACUGGACAGAUACUGACGCUAAAGCUCGAAAGCGUGGGGAGCGAACAGGAUUAGAAACCCCGGUAGUCC
rnacentral:rRNA from 1 species